rnacentral:rRNA from 1 species
UACGUAGGUGGCGAGCGUUGUCCGGAAUUACUGGGUGUAAAGCGCGUGUAGGCGGGAGGCCAAGUCUGUGGUGAAAUCGCUCGGCUUAACUGGGCGGGGUCCAUGGAAACUGGUCACCUGGAGGUCGGUAGAGGCAAGUGGAAUCCCGGUGUAGUGGUGGAAUGCGCAGAUAUCGGGAGGAACACCAAUGGCGAAGGCAGCUCGCCUGGGACGUGACUGACGCUGAGACGCGAAAGCGUGGGGAGCAAACAGG